rnacentral:sRNA from 1 species
UACGUGUUAUUGAUCUUUUUGUGCGUUC